AGCUUAUUGAUAUUAUAUAAUAAGUGUAUUCUGCCCAGUGAAUAUUUUCAACGGCCGCGGUAUCUUGACCGUGCAAAGGUAGCAUAAUCAUUUGCCUUUUAAUUGAAGGCUAGAAUGAAUGAAUAAACGUGAAUCUAACUUUCCCAAAUUAUAAAAUAAAAAUUAUUCUUUAGGUGAAGAAACCUAAAUCAUGUAAAAAGACAAGAAGACCCUAUCAAGCUUUAUAUUUUUAAAGUCUUACUUUCUAAAGAUAUUUGGUUGGGGCGAUUAAUGGAAAUUUUCUUACCUCCAUAACUAUUUUGAUAUAUAAAUCUCCAUAUUUAAUUUUCUAAAACAAAAAAGCUACUGUAGGGAUAACAGGCUAAUACCUUCUAAGAGUUCAAAUUAAAGAAGGUGAUUGGCACCUCGAUGUUGGCUUAGGGUUACACCCUUUCGCAGAAGAAAGGGUAGGUUAGUUUGUUCAACUAUUAAUCUCCU
rnacentral:rRNA from 1 species